rnacentral:rRNA from 1 species
CGCCUCCUGCUUCUUAUAGGAGGUCUAGCCUGCCCAGUGACAAAGUUAAACGGCCGCGGUACCCUAACCGUGCAAAGGUAGCGCAAUCACUUGUUCUUUAAAUGAGGACUAGUAUGAACGGCAUCACGAAGGUUAUACUGUCUCCCCACUUUAUUCAGUGAAACUGAUCUUCCCGUGAAGAAGCGGGAAUUUUUUUAUAAGACGAGAAGACCCCAUGGAGCUUUAAACUCAGCAUCAACUGCCUCUCUGUAAAACCUAGUACAAAAGCAGCCAUGACACCUAGUUUUCGGUUGGGGUGACCACGGAGUAAAGCCUAACCUCCACGACGAAAGGAACUACCCACCUAAGCCAAGAGCUACAGCUCUAAGCAUUAAAAAAUUAACCAAAUUGACCCAAUUUUUUGAUCAACGAACCAAGUUACCCUGGGGAUAACAGCGCAAUCCAUUUCAAGAGCCCCUAUCGACAAAUGGGUUUACGACCUCGAUGUUGGAUCAGGGUAUCCCAGUGGCGCAGCCGCUACUAACGGUUCGUUUGUUCAACGAUUAAAACCCU